UACGAAGGGGGCUAGCGUUGCUCGGAAUCACUGGGCGUAAAGCGCACGUAGGCGGCUUUUUAAGUCAGGGGUGAAAUCCUGGAGCUCAACUCCAGAACUGCCUUUGAUACUGGGAAGCUUGAGUCCGGAAGAGGUGAGUGGAACUCCGAGUGUAGAGGUGAAAUUCGUAGAUAUUCGGAAGAACACCAGUGGCGAAGGCGGCUCACUGGUCCUGUACUGACGCUGAGGUGCGAAAGCGUGGGGAGCAAACAGG
rnacentral:rRNA from 1 species